GAGGCGGGCGGAGGAGGGCGGUAGAGCCAUGGUCGGGGCGGGCAGUUGCAGCCUCCUCCUUGCCUCCGCCCUCGGGGAGGGGGAGGCCGGUGCCGGGGCGAGCAGCGGGUGAUGGGGAAGAGGCGAGCGCAGCGCUGAGGUCCUGCGGGGCCGGAUGAGCGGAGGCUUGGCGUCGCGGCGGUGGCGGGGCUGGAGGAGGGGGCGAAGGAGGCAGUAGGGGCGGCCUCCACUCCGGCUGCCCUGAGGGGAAGGAGCCCCCGAUCAUGGAAAUCGAGAACAUCGUGGCCAACACGGUGCUGCUGAAAGCCCGGGAGGGCAAACGGAGUGGGCGCAGUAAAAAAUGGAAAGAGAUGCUGAAGUUGCCACCUGUUAGUCACUGUGAAGGUAUUAGAUGCUCAAUCGAAAGAGACUAUAACCAGCUUUGUGACAAACAGCCAAUAGGAAGACUUCUCUUCAGACAGUUCUGUGAUUCCAGACCAGAUUUGAAAAGAUGCAUUGAAUUUCUGGAUGCAGUGGCAGAAUAUGACGUAUCUUCAGAUGAAAAGCGCAUAGACUGUGGCCUGAAAGUUUUAGAGACGUACUUCACUAAUGGGUCUGCAGCACACUUGCCAGAAAUACCUCAGGAAACAGUAAAUGAAUGUAAAGCAAGACUGGAAAAGAACCCUUCUAAGGAUCUUUUUAUGGACUGCACGAGAAUUGUCCAUGAAUACCUAAGCAAGAGACCUUUUGAAGCUUACCAAGAAAGUGUGUAUUUUUCCCGUUUUUUACAGUGGAAAUGGCUGGAAAAGCAACCAGUAACCAAACACACGUUCAGGCAUUACCGAGUAUUAGGCAAAGGUGGAUUUGGAGAGGUGUGUGCCUGUCAAGUCCGGGCAACAGGGAAAAUGUAUGCUUGUAAAAAGCUAGAAAAAAAGAGAAUAAAGAAGAGGAAAGGAGAAUCCAUGGCUCUAAAUGAAAAAAGAAUUCUAGAAAAAGUGAAUAGUAGGUUUGUAGUUAGUUUAUCCUAUACAUAUGAGACGAAAGAUGCCCUGUGUUUAGUAUUAACCAUAAUGAAUGGAGGGGAUUUGAAGUUUCACAUAUAUAACAUGGGAAAUCCUGGCUUUGAUGAAGAAAGGGCUAUUUUCUAUGCUGCAGAACUGUGCUGUGGUCUGGAGGAUUUACAGAAGGAGAGAAUUGUUUACAGAGACUUGAAGCCUGAAAAUAUACUCCUAGAUGACUGUGGACAUAUCAGAAUUUCAGAUCUUGGAUUAGCCGUGCAGAUUCCAGAAGGAGAAACGGUCCGAGGACGGGUUGGGACUGUUGGUUACAUGGCUCCAGAAGUGCUGAAAAAUGAGAAGUACACAUUCAGCCCGGAUUGGUGGGGUCUCGGGUGCUUGAUUUAUGAAAUGAUUGAAGGCCAGUCUCCAUUCAGGAAACAUAAGGAAAGGGUCAAACGGGAUGAAAUUGACCGGAGAGUAAAGGAAGACCAGGAAACAUAUUCAGACAAGUUCUCAGAGGAGGCAAAAUCAAUCUGCAGGAUGUUACUUGCUAAAAAUCCAGGGGAACGACUGGGUUGCACUGAAGACGGAGCUGCUGUUGUAAAGCAACAUCCUAUUUUCAAGAAUAUUAACUUCAAGAGGCUGGAAGCUAACAUGUUAGAACCUCCAUUCUUGCCAGAUGUAAGUAGCCACGUGCCGUAUAUUGUAAAGAUGUCCUGGACAUAGAGCAGUUCUCAACAGUAAAAGGAGUGAACCUGGAUACUACAGAUGAUGACUUCUAUUCCAAAUUUGUAACGGGUUGUGUCUCAAUCCCUUGGCAAAAUGAGAUGAUUGAAACGGGAUGCUUUGAAGAUAUCAAUGCAUACGAAACUGAUGGUACUGUGUCACCAGACAGAGAGAGGUCUCCUAAACCAAAGAGAGGCUUUUUUCACAGACUUUUUAGUGGAGAGGUCUGCUUUAAAUCUGAUUGCAGUGAUGAUGAGCAGGAGUCCUCCCGACUUUAAAUCAUUUUACUCUCAUCGGAAAGGAUGAGCAAACUUUAAAUGUUUUAUAUCUCUGUAGCAAAGUGUAUUAUAUAUAUUUUUUAUCUGAGUUCAAGGAUUUUUGUACAUUUGUACUUCAUUUGUUUUAAGAUGUAUAUUUUCACUAAAGCUUAAUUGUACAAAAAGCAAUGAGUGCCAUUUGAGUGAGUGUGUUUCUGUAUGUAUUUGAUUUAUCUUGAUUUAUUUUUUUUUUCCCCCCAGUGGAAUGAAUCUAGAAAUACUAAAAGGAUUUUAAAGCACAGAGAUAAUAUCUAUGGCAUCAAUGUAACAUGACUUUGUAUGCUAUUGGUAAAACUCUUCUGUUCAUCAGGAUCUUUAUUAGCAGUUUUUCCUAAUAGUAAAAUUGCUGUACUGAUAAAUUCCACAAUUCCGGUAUUAUCCAGCAGCGUGGCAGUGCUAUUACCUAAUGUAUCUCUCAAGCAACUGCUAAGGAAAAAAAGGAAUUUGGUGCACUGUGGCCAGCUAUUAUGGAAUUGCUCUUUACUCUCUCACUCUGUAGAGUGUCUUUCUGUAUUUCUAUAUGUAUGGGGAAUUCUGAACACUUAGCUUAAUCCUGUAACAAACUGUAUUACCCCGUUCUUCUCUUUUCUACCCAUCUUUCACAUCCUCUCUGUACAGUUUCUUGGCAUGGACCAUGCAAGUAGACCCAUGCCAAAAUUCUGUAGCUAUAUUUUGAGUACUUUGUUGUCUUUACUAAAAGGGUUUAUUUUUCACCUGUGGGGGCACCUUUUUAUUUUUUUCUGUAAAUGAAAUUGUUUACAACUCCAUGUGGGAUGGUAGUUUUAUAAUGGGUUACAAAACAAAGCAUGGGCUCUUGUUACUAACUUCAUCUCUGCUUAUUGUGUUGGAAUACGCAAUAUUAUGGGGUUGACAGCGAUCACUGCCACUGAGGAACGGACAAGGUAGUAUUAAGUGUCAAAUUUAAUUAUGUAAAUAAUCUUUCCUAAGAACCUUUUAAAACUUCAACAUUAAAACCUGCCUUUAAUAGUUGCUUAAUGCAGAUGUGGAGCUGGUAUUGAAGUUUUAGUUACGAUUACCUGAUGUUCAUAAGCAAAACUGUUUCCAGCUGCUUGAAAGCUUGUCAAACUUCCCUUCUUCUGGACUCCAAGUAUGCCAGGCUUUCUUUUCAUUUGGUAAAGUUUCUGGUAAAACUGUCAAUGUGUGUAUGAGAAUGAAUUUAGGGAACACAUUUCAUUAAGAGCCUCUUCUGGUUUCAAAAUUGGAGUUAGGGAUAUAAUGGAACACUCUUGGAGUUGGAGACAAGACUUUUGUUACAUGUUUUGUUCUGUGUUCUGAAGAUUUGUCUCCACUGAGACAAAUGGUUUUUUCCUCUCAAAUCUCUAGGGCACCAAUGAGACCACACAUGUAUUGCACACGCGGAGCUCCUAAACAUCCCUCUACCUCAGAUAGGUUUGUGCUUGUGAUCCGCAGACCCACUGCAAGAAACUUAAGCUGCUUCUGAGAAACUUGCAAGAUACAUUUGAUGCUCAAGCCUGUUGUCAGGUUUUAAUUCACGGUAUUUUGUCUCUAGUAACAAAUGCAUUAAUGGGUUGGUCUUUGAAUAAAGUUGGAAAACCAGUGUGUUACAGAAUCCUAUGGGGGAUGAGGUGGUGUCCAUCUGAAAUUGUUCCUCUUGGCUACUCUGCCACCAAAAUGAGGAAUGAGACUCUUCCUGUGUUUUCAGUGUGCGUUUUUCCUGAUGUCUGAAACAGCAGAGGACAGCAAAAUGACUGCUGUAAAAAGUGCAGAGGGAGAAAUUGGCAGAAGGAGAAAGAGUUUGAAUGAAUUACUGGAAGAUAUCUGAUGCAACAGUGGGAGGCUUGACAAAAAGAGAAAUAUCUGAAAUAAGGGUGUUGGCUGGAACCAUUAUGUGUGAGACAAUGAGCUGGCAGAGUCUGACCUGACCCUCUUUAUUAUGUACCACAGUAAUAGAACGACUCUGAAGAUGGGAAUGGAGAAUUGGAGAAGUCAUCAUGUUUCUCUGAUUAAGGGGUUUAAUUUUUUUAAGAUCUUAGGUUUUCUGUUCUGAGGCAAAGGUGACUGUAUUAACGGAGAGCAUACGGGGUGACAGUCUGGAUUUUAAUGUCUGCUUAGAGCAACUGGAAAUUUGGGCAAGAAUACCAUGGACACAAGCUGAGUAAUUUUUAUGGAGAAAUUACAGGAAUUGGCUUUAACAAAUAAAGAAAACCUGAAAGUCUGCUUACCAUGUAUUCCAAAUUUUCUUUCCAUAUUGGAGGGGGAGGGAUCAAAACUUAAAAAAAAAAAAAAAAAUCAAAUAAAAUCAGUUCCUCCAUUCUGGAGUGCUGAGGCUUAACACUCAUUAUUCCCCAGGGAAGAAAAAAGGCCAGAUAAAGAGAAAAGGAAAGUUGUUCCUUAGAAAUGGUUACUUAACACAUCCACUCCUUUGGACAAGGAAUUCCAACCAUCCAAAAAAGUAGAGGAGUUGUUCAUUUUUAUGAAGCUUUAUUUAGUUUCAUUUCACAUUAUUUUCUUAUGUUCUGAAUAAUACUAUUGGUUUUGAGUUAACUAUAUGUUUGCAGGAUUAGAACCUAUAUUCUAUUGCUUGGGGGUAUUUGUGGGAUGUUGGUUAAUUUUUACCCCUGUAGGCUCAAGAUGGCAUUUUUCUACUAUAUAUUUGUCCCCUUUGGCUAGAAAUAAACCCACCUAAUAGUGACUAGAUGUCAUCUAAUGUGAAUCCCCUAAUGAAUAAGAAAAGAUAAGAAACUCGAAGGAUCAGCCUAACUCUCCUUAUACGGUACAUGGAGAUAAAGAUAUUAUGGUGUUUAAGGUGACUAACAUUGGUUAAAUCUCUUUACUGGAGUAUUAGUAGCUUGCAGAUGUAUUUUGAAAGCAGGGAAAAGGUAAGGAGAGGGGAGAACACCUGAAAGCAAAAUAUUGUGGUGUGAUUAACACACAUUUGCUCUUGGCUUUUGCAGGACACAGCUGAGACAAAGAAGGGGAAAGGCAGCAGGUUGUGCUUACUGAUUAAGUAGCCUUUGUUUCCAGGAAGUCAUUCGUUAUGACUUCAUUACAACUCUGUGAAUUCAGAUUCUAGAUCCAUGUGUUAAGGGCUUUAAUAGCAGUGAGACAAUCCAACAGCCCAACUGCUUUGUUCUACUGGUGCAAGAUUUGGAAAGACCUAUGGAAUUCCAUGGAGUUACUUGCAUGAGAUGAACCCUCCUUUCCUGUGGCUUGUGUUUCCAAACGUUUCUGUAUGUAAGUCUUAAUGUCUGCUUGUGCAUACCUCAUGAAUCUGUAAUUCAGAAACUGUGAAACAUGUACCCAUACCUUAUUGGUUUACUUAAUGCUUUUGAAUGUUGUGACCAACAGAACAGAAUCUUCAUGCCUCAGGGUUGUUUUCUUAUAUUAAAAAAGUCAGCUUUUGUUUUCUUCCCAGAGGUGUAGUGUUCAUAAUAGGGAUGGUUUUAUGUGUCUGGAUUGUAACAACAACAACAACAAAACAAAGUCUCAGUUGAAAAAAUGGGCACUUAAAAAUAAUUACUGUAUAAUAAUAAAUAAAUAGGAAAAAACCUGCGGUAUUCCCAUAACAGAGAGUGCUAUUGACAAAUCUGAGCCUUUAAUAGAAGACAUUGUAUGGGUUUUCUUUUCCAAAUAAUUUUUAAAACAAUAGAUCUCAAAGUUUUCUAUUAUGAAAGAGAAUUGUCUCCCUCUCAAAAUAAAAUUGCCUAAUCUGAGAAAUCAGUGAUAGAAGCUAUUAAAAACAACUGAAAAUCCAUUUUUAGAAUGCACUUCAAUUAUUUUUCAAACAAUACUGGUGGAAGAAACUUCUCAUUGCUAUUUGUCCAAACAGAAUACUUGUAAACAAGUUACUGAAGUCAAUAGAAGUAAUAUGAUUUCGCUUUGGUUUACAAUUUAGUAUUACACUGAUUUAACAUUGGAAUUAUCCCUUCACUUUAGUGUAGAUUUUUCAGAAAAUGCUUCUCUUUAGGAAGUAAUAAAAAACCAUGGAAUUAAAAUUUAAGGAUUAAUGGGAAGCAUCCUUAAGCUAAAUUUUAUGUUUCCUUUGACUUGAAUUACCUGCCUGGCUCAUUUUGACGAUGCUGAUGUCUCUUCUGCUGAAUGUACAAUUCUCUUUUAGUUCAGAAUUGUUCUGAUGGUGUCAUUUAAGUUUUGCACGUGAAUGCAGGUAACUUCUCUCAUGUUCCACAUGUGUCCAGAACGCCAGAAUGCUGUUCAAGUAUAGUGAGGCUGAUUGUUCAAUGUGACGUGUUAGUGUUGGUAUCUCCAAACCACUGAACUGUUCGUGUAUGAGCUGUUUUCCUGGAUGUUCUAGCAUUGUUAUUCCUGAAAUAAAAGCAAAACAUUACUGCCUGUCUCAACCA